rnacentral:tRNA from 1 species
CGGCCUAUAGCUCAAUGGUAGAGCAACGCUCUUACAAAGCGAAGGUUUACGGUUCAAGUCCGUAUGGGCCGA